rnacentral:rRNA from 1 species
GAUGAACGCUGGCGGCGUGCCUAAUACAUGCAAGUCGAGCGAACAGAUAAGGAGCUUGCUCCUUUGACGUUAGCGGCGGACGGGUGAGUAACACGUGGAUAACCUACCUAUAAGACUGGGAUAACUUCGGGAAACCGGAGCUAAUACCGGAUAACAUAUUGAACUGCAUGGUUCAAUAGUGAAAGGCGGCUUUGCUGUCACUUAUAGAUGGAUCCGCGCCGUAUUAGCUAGUUGGUAAGGUAACGGAUUACGCAGGCAACGAUGCGUAGCCGACCUGAGAGCGAGGACGGGCAGACUGGAAGUGAGGCAGGGCAGACACACUUGCGGGGGGACGCAGUCGGGAAUCUUACGGGAUGGGGGAGAGCGGAACGGUGCAAAAUGGGGUGAAGGAUGAAGGUCUUAGGAUGGGAGAACGCUGUAGUUCGGAGAAAAGUAAUGUGUUAGUAACUGUGCAGAUAAUGACGGUACCUGAUCAGAAAGCCACGGCUAACUACGUG